rnacentral:rRNA from 1 species
AUAAGCUGCUUAUGCCAGCCAGGGGAUGGCUCGGCUCAAGUGCUGAAGAAGGACGUGCCAAGCUGCGAUAAGCCUCGGCGAGGCGCAUGGAGCCAUUGAACCGAGGAUGUCCUAAUGGGAAAUCCUAAGUCUAAGACUUGAUCCUCAAGGAUCGGGAACGUCCCGGAUUGAAACAUCUUAGUAGGGACAGGAAGAGAAAUCAACCGAGAUACCGUCAGUAACGGCGAGUGAACGCGGUAGAGCCUAAACCGAAUCCUGCAAGGGAGAUGUGGUGUUAUAAGCUGGUCUAAACGUUUUGAUCUGGAAGUCGAAGUGGCCUGGAAUGGCCUGCCAUAGAGUGUGAGAGCCACGUAGUCGUAACAGAUCAUUACCGAGACCAUGACUUGAGUACCGUGCGUCGGAAAUCGCGCGGGAAUUUGGGGGUCACCAACCUCCAAGGCUAAAUACAACUUGAGACCGAUAGCGUAGUAGUAGUGUGAACGAAAGCUGAAAAGUACCCCAAAUAGGGAGGUGCAAAGAGCCUGAAAUUGGCUGGCGAUAGUGCGUUAGGGCGCCAAAGGAUCUUUCUUUCGAAGGAAACGGUGGCAACGCCGCAGUACGAGAGAGACUGCCAGCGUUCUAACAUGCGUUUUGAAGAACGAACCAGGGAGUGCAUAUUGGCGGCGAGGCUAAUUCUUUAACAGAGGAAGCCGUAGCGAAAGCGACAAGCGCGCAUGAGAAGAGGCGCGACGUAUACAAGUGCGUGCAGUCGUCCGUAUGCGACCCGAAGCCGGGCGAUCUAGGCGUAGGUAGGUCGAAGCGUGGCGAAAGCUGCGUGGAGGACCGUUUGAGGUGUUGAUAUGCAAAUCGCUCUCGUGACCCGCGUCUAGGGGUGAAAGUCCAAUCGAGGUCGGAAAUAGCUGGUUCCUCCCGAAACAUAUCGCAGUAUGACCUGGUCUGAGAUAGUCGGCGGAGUAGAGCACUGAUUGGGGAAGCCGGACUCGAAAGGGUCUGUUCUCUUGUCAAACUCCAAAACCGCCGUCGUCGUAGACGACCAGCAGUCCGGGCUGGGGGGUAAGCUUCUAGUCCGUGAGGGAGACAACCCUGACCGUGGUUAAGGUCCCCAAAUAUCGGCCAAGUGUCAACACUUAAGGGAGUCCUGGGUCAUAAACAACUGGGAGGUUAGCUUAGAAGCAGCUAUCCUUUAAAGAGUGCGUAACAGCUCACCAGUCGAGAUUCAGGGCCCCGAAAAUGGACGGGGCUAAGCCGAUUACCGAUACCACGGAGCACCGCAAGGUGAUCUAGUAGGGAGGCGCUCUGCGUGGGCAGAAGCAUCUGCGUGAGCAGGUGUGGACCGCGUAGAGACGAAAAUCCUGGUAGCAGUAGCAGCAAAAUCGGGUGAGAAUCCCGAUCGCCGUAAGGGCCAGGGUUCCUCGGCAAUGUUCGUCAGCCGAGGGUCAGUCGGUCCUAAGACGUACCUUAAUCGGAGUACGCCAAAUGGGAAACAGGUUAAUAUUCCUGUACCUUUCAACAUUAAAACUGACGCUUCCGGAUAUGUCAAGCGUCCUUGCCUGGGCGUUCAAUCGUAUAAUCCUGUGGAGAGCCGUAAUGGCGAGAACCAGGAGAAAGCGUGAUGACGUAAGUUGGCAAAUUCCAGGAGUCCGUGAAAAGGGAGUUGAAAGUCCGUACCGAGAUCCAACACUGGUGCCCCAAGCUGAGAAGGCUAAGGCGUUUCGGCAUAUGCUAGCUAAGGGAAUUCGGCAAAUUAGCCACGUAACUUCGGGAUAAGUGGUGCCUGCUUUGCAAAAAGCAGGUCGCAGUGACGAGGGGACUCUAACUGUCUAAUAACAACAUAGGUGAUUGCGAAUCCGUAAGGACUAGUACAAUCACUGAAUCCUGCCCAGUGCAGGUACCUGAAAACCCGGUUCAACGGGAGGAAGGGCCUGUCAACGGCGGGGGUAACUAUGACCCUCUUAAGGUAGCGUAGUACCUUGCCGCUUAAUUGGCGGCUUGCAUGAAUGGAACAAUGAGAGUCUCACUGUCCCUAGCUGGUACCCGGUGAACCUUACAUUCCAGUGCAGAGUCUGGAGACCCCUAAUGGGAAGUGAAGACCCCGUGGAGCUUUACUGCAGCCUGCCGU